CCAUACUGCACUUGUGAUCAAUAUGAUACCUCUUCAUUCACUGCUACGAACUGAUGGUGGUCAGAUAAGUACGAUUUGAACCAUGCUAAGGCGCUUCCACUAAUGCCAACAAAGUUUUGUAGUCUAUUCAAAAGAAUGUUGUGGUCGAUAGUGUCGAAUGCAGCGCUAAGAUCCAGUAGAACUAAUAAAGAGCUACAACCACGAUCAGAUGAUAGAAGCAGGUCAUUUGUAACUCUAAUGAGAGCAGUCUCAGUACUAUGAUACGAUCUAAAUCCUGACUGGAAUUCCUCAAAGAUAUCAUUUUUCUCUAGGAAGGAAUAUAAUUGUGAGGAUACUACCUUUUCUAGUAUCUUUGACAGAAAAGGGAGAUUUGAGAUCGGUCUGUAAUUAACUAGAUCUUUGGGGUCAAGUUGUGUUUUUAAUGAGAGUCUUAAUAACAGCCAAUUUGAAGGUUUUGGGGACAUAUCCUAAUGACAAUGAUGAAAUCUGAUAGAAGAUCAGAAAGUUUUUUAAUAAAGUCUGUAUGGUGCCCUGGUGGCCUGUAUACAGUAGCCAGUACAAACAUCACAGGGGAUUUAUCAUUAAUACUUGUUUCUUUGGAUAACGUUAUAUGAAGCACCAUUACUUCGAACGAAUUAUACUUGAAACCCGACCUCUGAUAGAUACUGAAAAUAUUGCUAUAAAUUGUAGCAACAGCUCCCCCUUUACCUUUUGGAUGCGGUUCAUGUUUGUAACAGUAAUCUUGUGGUGUAGACUCGUUUAAAGUAAUGUAAUCGUCUUGUUUUAGCCAGGUUUCUGUCAGACAAAGCACAUCUAGUUUAUGGUCAGUGAGCAUAUCAUUUACAAAAAGUGCUUUUGAAGAAAGGGAUCUAAUAUUCAAUAAGCCAAACUUUAUCAUGCGUUUAUCUGUAUUAUAUCGUUUUUUUUAGUUGUUGAACAUCAAUUAAAUUGUUACUAUUACUUUGGUUUGGAUGUUUUCUGUAUUUUCUAGUUCGGGGAACAGACACAGUCUCUAUAGUGUGAUAUCUAGGUGAAAAAGUUUCUAUGUGCUGAGAGUUAACUGACUUCUGUGACGUGAGGCGGCUAGCAGACGAUCGGUUUAGCCAGUCUGUCUGCUUCCUGACCUGGGCCCCAGUUAGUCAAGUAGGGUCACCUGAUAGUUCACAGGUCCCAGUUUACGUACAAUCCGGUAAGGUCCUUUCCACUUCUUGGCUAGUUUAGCGGUGAAAUGAUGCAGUGCACUUGAUUGUGGAAAGUUCCUUACCCAGACUCGAUCUUGGAAUUUGUAGGACACUUCCCUUCGAUUUUUAUCAUAGUUUCGAAGCUGACGGAGAUGUGCUCUCUUAGAACUGAUUUCAGCAUUCUUCUGAAAUUGUUUCAGAUGGUGGACAGUCUCAUAGGGAGAAGUGUCCGGAUGAACUGCAAUAUCUGCCCGAAGUAUUCUAUCUAUAGGACUCUGAAGUUUCCUUCCAAUGUGUAAUUCGGCAGGUGUCAGGCCAAUGGUUUCCUGUACCGCAGAGUUCAAUGCAAAUCUAAAUUCGUGUAAAUAUUUCCGCUCUGAGGAUACGUGCAAUAGUUGAAGACGUUGCAGUAUGCAUGGGAAAAAUCUCCACCCAUCGGGUAUGAUAGUCUACAGUCACUAAGGAUUCUUGUGGUAUGCUUUGAAUACCUGGAAAGUAAGUGAGGAUGGGAUGUAUAUGCGGUAGUGGAAUUGUUGAUCAGUCACCUGUGUCUUCCUGUAUAACUCAUCCUCCAAGACUGUGUAUUUCUCCUCAGCUUCUUUGUCUCCCUCUGCUACUGCUUUAAACAAUUUCUCCAUCUCAGGAUCCUUGUGUUGUUCUUCCCAAAUAAGGUCGGCAGUGAAAGGAAGGUCAUUCUUCUCUUUCUGCGAAGAGAACAGAACACAUCCAGUGGUGGUGGGAAUCCGGGAGAGCGCGUCAGGAAUGACAUUGAGCUUACCCUUAUGGUACUCCACUACAAAAUCAAAUCUCUGUAACCUCAGGGCCCAUCUUAACAGGCGAUUUGUGGUUUUCUGGGAAGUCAGGACCCACUACAAGGCAGAAUGAUCUGUGAUCACAGUGAAUAAUUUUUGUUCCAAAUAGUAGUGUGGGCCUUUUCUAAGGCCCACACUACAGCAAGGCACUCUUUUUCUGUAGCAGAAUUAUUUUUUUCUGAUUUAGUUAAGGUUCUGCUAGCAUAUGCUAUCACUUGUUCAGUAUCAGGCCCCCGUUUUCUGUGCAAGAACCGCUCCAAGACCAGUCUCGCUCGCAUCGGUAUAGACAGUAAAUGGAAGGUUUUGGUUGGGGUGGCCAAGGAUUGGGUGUGAAGUCAAACAUGCUUUAAGGUGAUCAAAAGCCUGUUGACAUUCAGAAGACCAAAAGAAAGGACGCCCCUUCUUCUUCAAGUCAUUCAAGGGUUCUGCGAUCCUGGAGAACCCUGGAACAAAAUGAUGGUACCAUCCAGACAACCCAAGAAAUCUUUGUACCUCCUUGAGGUUUUUGGGGACCGGAUAAGCCUGAACGCUCUGUAUUUUUCCAGGAUCUGCUGUGACACCUUUGAUACUCACAAUGUGUCCUAAAAACUUGACUUCUUCCAAGCAGAAUUUGCUUUUCUUCAUGUUGAUUGUGAGACGUGCUUCAUGUAGUUUGUUAAACACCUUUUGGAUGUCUAAGAAAUGUUGGGACACAGAAGAGGAGUAGAUGAUAAUAUCAUCCAAGUAAACCAGACAACAGUGACCCCGUAAAUUUCCCAAGACCAACUCCAUUAGCCUCUGAAAAGUAGCUGGAGCAUUUUUUAGCCCAAAGGGCAUCACAUUAAAGUGAUAGAGGCCAGAUGGGGUUAUGAAGGCAGUCUUAGACUUCUCUCUGGGGCCAUUUGCACUUGCCAAUACCCACUGUUUAAGUCAAUUGUUGUAAAAAUGACUGAACCAGCGAGGGACUCUAGAAUCUCUGCAAUUGAAGGAAGAGGGAACCAACACUACAGGAGAAGACCAACCAGAAUGUGAUGGUUCAAAAAUACCUGAGGAUAACAUCUCUGCGAGCUGUUCCUUGAUUAUGUCCUGUCUAGUUGGAGACAUCCGAUAGGGUUUUUGUUUUAUGGGGACAUUGACUGUAGAGUAUAUUUGAUGUUGAAGUACCUUUGUUCUGCCAGUUGUGUGGGUACAUACCUCAGGGUUUGAUUUCAGAAGUUCCCGCAGUUUUGGUUUUACAGAUUCAUGUAGUUGGGCAGAGGAAACAGCUUGAUCUAUUUAAUCGUGUACAUUUAGUCGAACCACUUCUCCAGAACACAUAGGCAGUGGAAUGGAGCUGAUGAGACCAAGUUGAUGUUUUUGUUCAUAUCUUUUGUUGUUCUUAUUUCUAGAUCCUUUCCAUCCAGACACCCAGGCAUUACCAGGUUGGAAGGGAUGGACAACAGAAGAUCUUUGCUUAUUGUGUUGAUUGACAAAUUGAGAAGAGGUAGAAGUUUAUUGAGGACAUGAACCAGGAGAAUGCAAACCUUUGCAGCGCCAACACAGAGUUGAUGUCCAAGACGUACAAGUUCAUCCACAUAAUUUACCCUUCCACGGAGCUGACUGGCAAGUUUCUUAUUGGUUGAGCUGGGGAUACGAGGCUAUAAAGUGGAAGGAGGCGGACCCUCUCGCACCGGCCACAGCUUUCUCCACAGCCACAUCACCGCGUACUUUUACUUCGUUUGUAAUUAUAGUUUGGAGCGGGGAGUCCCUGCUUGUUUCUGUUAGUUUAGUUAUUCUUUCCUUUGUUGCUGGGCUCCCCAUCUCUUAUUUUUGGUUACUUU